AUCCAACUGACAAGUCCCAAAUAGGACAAAGCUCGAAUCCUGGAU
rnacentral:hammerhead_ribozyme from 1 species